rnacentral:rRNA from 1 species
AGUAACGGCGAGUGAACGGGGAUUAGCCCAUCACCGAAGCCCGCGUGUUCUUGCAUGCAGGGCAAUGUGGUGUUAAGGCUUGCACCUGGGACUGUGAACCUACCAAAAGUCCAGCUCCGAUUCUGGCUCAUUGUUUUCCAAAGCGGGUGAAAGACCCGUGAUGGUAGGUAUGUUGAUCGUAGCAGUCCUCAGAUGUGCAUGCCUACGAGUCGGAUUGCUUGAGAAUGCAGUCCAAAGUGGGUGGUAAACUCCAUCCAAGGCUAAAUACUGGCAUGAGUCCGAUAGUAGACAAGUACCGUGAGGGAAAGUUGAAAAGUACUCUGAAGAGAGAGUAAAUAGUACGUGAAGCCGAUUGCAGGGAAGCUGGUGGAGUCAAGCUUCAUGCUUGGGGGAUUUUUGUCCGGAGAAACAGUGUGCUGUGCAUUCUUGUUGGUCAACUUGGAAUAAGUUGGGUGCAUUCGUGCGCUUCAAGUCAUUCUGGGCUGUGUGUUUGUAACCAAUGAUUAUGUGCUGCUCUUGGCAAUCUAUCCUUCGCUGCAUAAAUCACAGUCGAUGUUUGAGUGCUGCAUGUUUAUCUAACUGUACUCUGAUAGGCCUAGAGUCUCUCGGGUAUGGAAGGGCAGGUUUGUCCGAUGGCCUUGUGCCAUUGUGUCAACGAAGAC